CAUCAACAUUAUUUUCAAGUGUAUUUUUAAUAUAUAUUUUAUUAACUGUACCAUGCUUUAUAGUGUGCUAAAAACAUCUCCCACUGGUCCCAGCUGUGAGUCCAUCAGGAGUAACGACUCCAAGGAUCUUCCUAUGAAUUUCAAUAAUGAACCUUCUGUUGAGCCUUGGAAGAUGGAGGAGGGUCCUGGUCCCAGCUGUGAGUCCAUCAAGAGUACCCACUCCAAGGAUCUUUCUAUUUUCUUCAAUGAUAAACGUUCUUCCUCUAAUUUGUGAGUCUAUCAAAAUUAUUUUCAAUUGUAUUUUUUAAUAUAUAUUUUAUUAACAUUACCAUGCAUUAUAGUGUGCUAAAAACAUCUCCCACUGGUCCCAUCUGUGAGUCCAUCAGAAGUAACCGCUCCAAGGAUCCUCCUGUGACAUUCAAUAAUGAACCUUCUGUUGAGCCUUGGUGAGUUACUGGUUCUGAAGUCCUGGAGAAAUAAAUAUGUACAUUUAUUGAUCCACAAGAGAAAUUUCAUUGACACAACAGCUCAUUGAUACAGUAAUCAAAACAUUCUUGCAAAACAACAAUAGAAUGAUAGGUAACAAUGGUAAAUCUAUAUAGUGCUUCCACCUGCAUUAGACACUCAAACCAAUGUGGCCUUGUAUAGUUUAGUUUCACAGUUUAACACAUACAAUCAGGAAAUCAACUUAUCAUCAUGUAAUGCUUCAUUGGGGAAAAAUGACACUUAAAAAACUUCAAGCUUUUCAACCGGUGUCCAUCACCCACCUCCCUGAGCAAACAUAACGUUGCACAGCUUAAACUGAGGAUAGUUCACAACAGAACUAGUUCCAGCUGACAUCAUUUAAGAGGAGAGGGUGGACUAAUAUGUGCUGAUUGGCUCGCACUCCUGUACAGAUACAGCAACAGCACAGGUGACAUUCUGACAGACACAUAUUAAAGUUUAUUUGUAGAGCACAAUUCAUACACAAGGCAAUUCAAAAUGCUUCACAGUUGCAUAAAAUUACAAGAAAGAAUAAAACCUCAACAUAAAAAUUAAUACAG
rnacentral:lncRNA from 1 species